UGGCAGUGGGAGAGAAUUCCAUCAGUGGACAGCUCUAUUUUUAAGGCUCUGGCUUUGUUUUCUGUUUCCUGAGAGGCAGUCCCUGCAGCAGGCUUGAGCCUCUCUCACUGACAGCCUGCCUCGCAUAAUGUUAAGCAGGCAUCGGACAGUUGCUGGAAGGCGGGGAAUUGCAAUGAAAGAGCACGGAGGUGAGAGGCUGUGCUCCUUGACGUGAAGGCAGCUUCUGUGCUCCUGGGAUCUACUGUUCAGCCAAAGUGACGCCUGCUUGCAUUCUACUGGAGUGACUCAUCCUUGCCUCAGCAGAAUGGGCCUAGGUGGAGCUUGAAAUUAAUGAAGAGAUGCUGCUUCCAGCUUUUUGAGCAAGAAGAAGUUUGGCCUCCAGUUAUUACACCUUGAGGUCAGCGGGUAUCUCAAGUCUGAGUAGUUAUAAAAGUGAGCUGAUGUAGUAACACCACCAAAGCAACGUUUUGUCUAAAUAUUUCAGAUCCCCUAUAAUAAAUCAUUUAUUAUGAUUA